AUGGUGAAUGGAUUAUUCCUGGAGGCAGUGAUGAUGAUGUGCUGGCCAAGAUCCUCCCAUGCCAUGACCUUUGGUCUGCUCACCACUGUCCAGCCCACCUUGAUGCCUGCUCAGUUUCCAAGCACUGACUUUCAGUUUUUCCUCCAAGCACAUGAGAGAAUUCCAAGAAUAAUUAUCAUCUUGCUGGCAUUCCAGUACUUUCUUCUGUACUGUAAUGGGAGUAAAGAGGGAGGAAGAGAAGUUUUACUGGUGUGCCCAAGGAGCAUCAUGGCAAGUAAAGUUGAUCCUGGUACAUCCAACUGGAACAUAAAUUAUUAUACAAAUGAACCAAUGAAAAUGAAUAUUUGGGACAUCUUCUGGCUUUUUAAAAUUUCAAUAAAAUUUUUGAGCAACAGUGUUCUAAGUUCUUAAGUGGUGAUUUCUGAGAUUUGGGCAUUUUUAUGCACUAUUUAUCACUUUGUGAUUAGAGAGGCUGUAAGCACUGUUACUAGAACACAGUGAAUCUC
rnacentral:lncRNA from 13 species